AGUGAACGCUGGCGGUAGGCCUAACACAUGCAAGUCGAACGGCAGCACAGUAAGAGCUUGCUCUUACGGGUGGCGAGUGGCGGACGGGUGAGGAAUACAUCGGAAUCUACUUUUUCGUGGGGGAUAACGUAGGGAAACUUACGCUAAUACCGCAUACGACCUACGGGUGAAAGCAGGGGAUCUUCGGACCUUGCGCGAUUGAAUGAGCCGAUGUCGGAUUAGCUAGUUGGCGGGGUAAAGGCCCACCAAGACGACGAUCCGUAGCUGGUCUGAGAGGAUGAUCAGCCACACUGGAACUGAGACACGGUCCAGACUCCUACGGGAGGCAGCAGUGGGGAAUAUUGGACAAUGGGCGCAAGCCUGAUCCAGCCAUACCGCGUGGGUGAAGAAGGCCUUCGGGUUGUAAAGCCCUUUUGUUGGGAAAGAAAAGCAGCAGGUUAAUACCCCGCUGUUCUGACGGUACCCAAAGAAUAAGCACCGGCUAACUUCGUGC
rnacentral:rRNA from 1 species